AGGUUGCCCCGACAGGCAUUAAUAGGGAAUCGGGUGAAAAUCCCGGACAGUCCCGCUGCUGUAAGUUCUAUCAAAGGACGGUGAUACAUAUCCACUGAAUUGACAAUUUGGGAAGGGUUUGCCGCUCCGGAAUAAGUCAGAAGACCUGCCUUCUCUUA
rnacentral:ncRNA from 1 species